CCUACGGGAGGCAGCAGUGGGGGAUAUUGCACAAUGGGGGGAACCCUGAUGCAGCGACGCCGCGUGGGUGAAGAAGCGCCUCGGCGCGUAAAGCCCUGUCAGCAGGGAAGAAAAUGACGGUACCUGAAGAAGAAGCCCCGGCUAACUACGUGCCAGCAGCCGCGGAAAUACGUAGGGGGCAGGCGUUAUCCGGAUUUAUUGGGUUUAAAGGGUGGGUAGGGGGGACAUUAAGUGAGCGGUAAAAUCGAGGGGCUAAACCCCUUUAAGCCGGUGAAACUGGUGGGCUUGAGUGGGCGAGAAGGAAGCGGAAUGUGUGGUGUAGCGGUGAAAUGCAUAGAUAUCACGCAGAAAUCCGAUUGCGAAGGCAGCAUACCGGCGGCCGACUGACGCUGAGGCACGAAAGCGUGGGGAGCGAACAGGAUUAGAUACCCGAGUAGUC
rnacentral:rRNA from 1 species